UCUGGGGGGUUAGGUACGCACCUAAUUUGAUCAAGGCGUUUUCGUCUCUUCGGUUCGGUGGUGGUGGCGGAGGGAGGAACCAAAACGACGAGCUAGAGGAGAGAAAAAAGAAGAGAGAGGGAGGGAGGUAGCGAGCGGCAUUUCUUCGGUAUCCGUCCGCCUAUCCUCUCCUCGCUCAUCGUAUCAUCAUCGAGCCCUCCCUCUAGCUCGCCUUCCACCUCUUUUCUUUCGUUAGCUCACAAAGACGAGGGGCCGACCUUUCAGAGGGUAGAAAAGAAAAGGGGACCCCUUCGACUUAACCAGCUAACUAAGCGCACGACACACACGCACGCGCCAGUACCGCUGCUCCGCCUCGAUCAAUCACCUCCUCAGUGCGAAGAACUAAAGAAGCCAAGCCGAGGCUCGCCUCUUAAUAACCACAAACCCUCCUUCCUCCCCAGCCCCUCGUUCGAUCGACUACAUGCCGAGCGGCCGCAGGUUCCUAGACUUGGUCGGCGGCGGCGGCUACUUGAGGAGGCCGGAGGAGUCCAUGUCUAGCCGCGGGUCGUGCGACGAGCCGCUCCAGACGCUCCUCAAGGAGGUCGGGCCGGGGGCGCGGCGGUCGGGGCUGCGGCGGCGGCGGCUGUUGCAGAAGAGGGCGAAGGACCGGCUGGUGGUCUAGGCUCUGUGGUUCGGCGGCGGCGGCGGCGGGCAGCGGGGCCCCCGGGUGAAGGGACUACUGAGGCGGUACCGUAGCGUCGUCGUCGUCGUCGUCUACUACAAGGUGGGGGUCGUGGUCGUGGUGGUGGUGGUCGUCUACGGGGGGCAGCCGCAGCUCCCCGAGAUGGCGUGGCAGUCGAGGCGACCCUACCUGAGGCGGCGGCGCCGGUGGCGGCCUCCGCGGUCGUCGGACGAGGCCGUCUCGUCGAGGGGGCGGCCGAAGGAGUUAGUAAACUUGUAUCUGUUGCCCAUGCUUUCGUACGACUCCGUUCCGUACCCGCACCCGAAGUCCUUGCCGCGGUGGUUGCGGCGGCGCCGGCACCUGAGGAGACCGUCGCCCCCGCCGUCCGAGUUCCCCGUCGAGUCGAAGAGCAGCGCCGUCCCGAGCGAGUACAGGGUCUAGAGCCUCUACCCGUCGCUCCUAGAGCCGCCGUCGUCGGGGCUCCCGCGGCCCCCGUCGGCGCCGAUGUAAGGGCCGAUGGGCUACUCGAGGCCCACCCUCCUCAGCAGCGAGUACAGCCUCUUGUACAGGCCCUACUUCGCGGGUGCCCUGAGCAGUCUCGGACGACGGGUCUUGCCGGACCGCGUGGUCAAGUCGGAAGGGUUCUGGAGCAGCCUCUACCGGCGGUAGCUCUUCAAGGAGGUCAAGGUCCUGCGGCACGGGACGUUCUAGGCCCGGUUCGCGCCUACGCGGUGCGUGGGGGCGUCGUAGCGGCUCGCCCACUCCUCCUGUUCUUAGUCGCUCGCUUAGUCCUUCGACGUUCUUGAGCAGGGUUUGUACCUGUUCGUUUGGUUGUGCCGACUGUACAACCUAGACCGACAGCUGAUGUAGUUCCUCGAGGUCCUCGUCCAGUUCCACUAGUUGCUCUCGGCGCGGUUGACGUGGACGAGCCGCUCGUUCGUAGUCGUCAUGAGACCAACUCUCUUCUCUCUCCCUCUAGCCACAGUAGAGAUCUUCUUCGAGGUGACAUGUUCUGGACCUCUUAAAUCUUUGUUCUAAUAAACCCCCUCCACAUUACGUACCAUCAUCGAAAAGCAAAAGAAACGCCAAACCCAUAUUCGUUCGUCUCCUUCCCACGCGUUACGUCGUCACCGUAGUAGUUCCUAAGUUCCUUCGUUUCCCACCUCUUCCCUCGUUUCCCCUUCUACCUCCGGCCUCUUUCUUAACAUGUCAUAUCAAAAACGACAUUGAAGCGAUAUAUAUGGGGGGUUGGUGCGGGUAUAGGCCACGUAAGGGUAUCUUUCAAUGACGGUAACAACAGUCGUGACAACGUUUCCUCGAGAUCCGAGAGAGCAAAUUGUGGUAGUGAGUGUGCCAGUGUGAGGUAGUUGUUAUUUUAUGGCGCGACCGAAACGAAGACACAGAACAAAGCCGGUUCGGGUAAGGACCGUGGUUAAAACACGACUAAUUAAAACACGACCUGCUAGUCCAGUCUACACAAGUUUAGCCGAACGGGUUUUCAGACCCAACUGUCACUUUCCGUCACACUAAUGCUAAUGGCUAAAACACGUAAGGAAAACGAAACUACUACCCGCCCCGCUCAGCCGUAUUUCCAACCGGCCACUCAAGUGCCUUGUUCCUUCCUCCGGGCAGGUUACUUGCCGACUCUUACGUACCAAUGAAAUAGCGGUCCCCAGUGACAGAGAGGUAGUAGUAGUAGCCGAGGUUUUAUAUCAGGGUACAGGUAGAGUUAAGUGCCGGUCUUUUGAUACCCGCGUUUAAAGUUGACCCCUUUUGAAACCCGGGAGGGGGACGGUCCUCGGACUUCGUCGCCUCCUACUAGGGUUUCGUCUGUUUGUAGGUUUUCACCUGAGGAGGUGGUCGACGUCCACGUCCUUUGGACCUUGUGCAGAGCCUACGGAAAGUACGACUUCGUGAUCGUUAUGAUUUACGCGAGUUACGUUGUCGGUUCUACCCAAAGUUGGUUCAGUAGAAGCUUUACCUAAGGUGUCACGACUUCGUUCGUUAAAGUUCACUCCUGAUACUGGAUCGCGGUGAGCCUCGGAACAAGGUUCUCUAUUUUAAAGUUGACUCCUAGCGAAAACUCUUACAUUUUGAAAUACAUACGGGAUACAGAACAUUGUUACGUCGUGUACAGAAUCGUCGUGUACUUCGAUCGAAUCCUCUACCGUACAUACUUUAGACCAAUCCGGUCAAAGGACUUGAACAUUACUUGAGACAUCGACCCCUAAAUUGGUCGUCCAGAGACAUCACCUUAUCGUUCACAAGGGAAGUUUUUUUUUU
rnacentral:rRNA from 1 species